GUGCUUGCUUCAGCCGCACAUAUACUAAAAUUGGAAUGAUACAGAGAAUAUUAGCAUGGCCCCUGCACAAGGAUGACAUGCAAAUGUGUGAAGUGUUUGAUAUUUUU
ensembl:snRNA U6 U6 spliceosomal RNA